GAUGAACGCUGGCGGCGUGCCUAAUACAUGCAAGUCGAGCGAACGGACGAGAAGCUUGCUUCUCUGAUGUUAGCGGCGGACGUGUGAGUCACACGUGGAUAACCUACCUAUAAGACUGGGAUAACUUCGGGAAACCGGAGCUAAUACCGGAGAAUAUUUUGAACCGCAUGGUUCAAAAGUGAAAGACGGUCUUUCUGUCACUUAUAGAUGGAUCCGCGCUGCAUUAGCUAGUUGGUAAGGUAACGGCUUACCAAGGCAACGAUGCAUAGCCGACCUGAGAGGGUGAUCGGCCACACUGGAACUGAGCCACGGUCCGGACUCCUACGGGAGGCAGCAGUAGGGAAUCUUCCGCAAUGGGCGAAAGCAUGACGGAACAACGCCGAGUGAGUGAUGACGGUCUUCGGAUCGUAAAACUCUGUUAUUAGGGAAGAACAGAUGUGUCAGUAACUGUGCACAUCUUGACGGUACCUAAUCAGAAAGCCACGGCUAACUACGUG
rnacentral:rRNA from 1 species